GGGGGGGGGGGGGGGGGGGCCGGGGGGAUGCGGGGGGAGCGGGGGGGCGAGGAGCUUGCUGCACUGAUGUUAGCGGCGGGCGGGCGAGUAACACGUGGAUAACCUACCUAUAAGACUGGGAGAACUUCGGGAAACCGGAGCUAAUACCGGAUGAUAUUUUGAACCCCAUGGUUCAAAAGUGAAAGACGGCCUUUCUCUCACUGAUAGAGGGAUACGCGCUGCAUUAGCUAGUUCGUACGGUAACGGCGUACCAAGGCAACGAUGCAUAGCCGACCUGAGAGGGUGAUCGGCGAAACGGGAACUGAGACACGGUCAAGACUCCUAGGGGAGGCAGCAGUAGGGAAUCUUCCGGAAUGGGCGAAAGCCUGACGGAGCAACGCCGAGUGAGUGAUGACGGUCUUCGGCUCGUAAAACUCUGUUAUUAGGGAAGAACAUAUGUGUAAGUAACUGUGCACAUCUUGACGGUACCUAAACAGAAAGCCACGGCUAACUACGUG
rnacentral:rRNA from 1 species